rnacentral:tRNA from 1 species
GGGCCCGUGGUAUACCGGCAGCAUGCCUCGAUGGCAUCGAGGAGAAGGGGGUUCGAUUCCCCCCGGGUCCACCA